rnacentral:rRNA from 1 species
CCUACGGGUGGCAGCAGUAGGGAAUAUUGCUCAAUGGGGGAAACCCUGAAGCAGCAACGCCGCGUGGAGGAUGAAGGUUUUCUGAUUGUAAACUCCUUUUGUUAGAGGAGAUAAUGACGGUAUCUAACGAAUAAGCACCGGCUAACUCCGUGCCAGCAGCCGCAGUAAUACGGAGGGUGCAAGCGUUACUCGGAAUCACUGGGCGUAAAGAGCGCGUAGGCGGGAUAGCCAGUCAGAUGUGAAAUCCUAGGGCUUAACCAUAGAACUGCAUUUGAAACUGGUAUUCUAGAGUAUGGGAGAGGUAGGUGGAAUGCGUGGUGUAGGGGUAAAAUGCGUAGAGAUCAAGAGGAAUACUCAUUGCGAAGGCGACAUGCUAGAACACAACUGACGCUGAUGCGCGAAAGCGUGGGGAGCAAACAGGAUUAGAUACCCUGGUAGUC